rnacentral:rRNA from 1 species
AACGAACGCUGGCGGCAGGCUUAACACAUGCAAGUCGAGCGCCCCGCAAGGGGAGCGGCAGACGGGUGAGUAACGCGUGGGAAUCUACCCAUCUCUACGGAAUAACGCAUGGAAACGUGUGCUAAUACCGUAUACGUCCUUCGGGAGAACGAUUUAUCGGAGAUGGAUGAGCCCGCGUUGGAUUAGCUAGUUGGUGGGGUAAAGGCCUACCAAGGCGACGAUCCAUAGCUGGUCUGAGAGGAUGAUCAGCCACACUGGGACUGGGACACGGCCCAGACUCCUACGGGAGGCAGCAGUGGGGAAUAUUGGACAAUGGGCGCAAGCCUGAUCCAGCCAUGCCGCGUGAGUGAUGAAGGCCCUAGGGUUGUAAAGCUCUUUCACGGGUGAAGAUAAUGACGGUAACCGGAGAAGAAGUCCCGGCUAACUUCGUGCCAGCAGCCGCCGUAACAC